AAUGGGGGCAACCCUGAUCCAGCCAUGCCGCGUGAGUGAAGAAGGCCUUCGGGUUGUAAAGCUCUUUCGACGGGGACGAUGAUGACGGUACCCGUAUAAGAAGCCCCGGCAAACUUCGUGCCAGCAGCCGCGGUAAUACGAAGGGGGCUAGCGUUGUUCGGAAUUACUGGGCGUAAAGCGCGCGUAGGCGGUGAUCCAUGUCAGAGGUGAAAGCCUGGAGCUCAACUCCAGAAUUGCCUUUGAAACGGGAUCGCUAGAGUCCGAGAGAGGAUGGCGGAAUUCCUAGUGUAGAGGUGAAAUUCGUAGAUAUUAGGAAGAACACCGGUGGCGAAGGCGGCCAUCUGGCUCGGUACUGACGCUCAGGCGCGAAAGCGUGGGGAGCAAA
rnacentral:rRNA from 1 species